GCUUUCGUAGUGUAGUGGUUAGCACACUCGGCGCGUAUUCGAGAGGUCCGUGGUUCAAGUCCCGGAGAGAGCA
rnacentral:tRNA from 1 species